AGGGCACCACCAGGAGUGGAGCCUGCGGCUUAAUUUGACUCAACACGGGAAAACUCACCCGGCCCGGACACUGGAAGGAUUGACAGAUUGAGAGCUCUUUCUUGAUUCAGUGGGUGGUGGUGCAUGGCCGUUCUUAGUUGGUGGAGUGAUUUGUCUGGUUAAUUCCGAUAACGAACGAGACUCUAGCCUACUAAAUAGAUCGUCGGCUUACAAACGCCGGCGAGACUUCUUAGAGGGACAGGCGGUGAUUCAACCGCACGAAACAGAGCAAUAACAGGUCUGUGAUGCCCUUAGAUGUCCGGGGCCGCACGCGCGCUACACUGAAGUGAUCAGCGUGCUUUUUCAACCUACUCUGUCAAGAGUGGGGAACCCAAUGAACCUUCUUCGUGAUUGGGAUAGGGGAUUGUAAUUGUUCCCCUUGAACGAGGAAUUCCCAGUAAGCGCGGGUCAUAAGCUCGCGUUGAUUACGUCCCUGCCCUUUGUACACACCGCCCGUCGCUACUACCGAUUGAAUGUUUU
rnacentral:rRNA from 1 species